rnacentral:misc_RNA from 1 species
CUAACCCGGGGGCAUGGCUAGCUUGCUAGCCGUCCCUUGUGUUGCAAAGCUAUUUAAUCCACACGACUCUCGGCAACGGAUAUCUCGGCUCUCGCAUCGAUGAAGAACGUAGCGAAAUGCGAUACCUGGUGUGAAUUGCAGAAUCCCGCGAACCAUCGAGUCUUUGAACGCAAGUUGCGCCCAAGGCCAUUCGGCCGAGGGCACGCCUGCCUGGGCGUCACGCCAAAACACGCUCCCAACCACCCUCAUCGGGAAUCGGGACGCGGCAUCUGGUCCCUCGUCUCGCAAGGGGCGGUGGACCGAAGAUCGGGCUGCCGGUGUACCGCGCCGGACACAGCGCAUGGUGGGCGUCCUCGCUUUAUCAACGCAGUGCAUCCGACGCGCAGCCGACAU